AUGAUGCUCAUCUUUGGACUGAUGCUGCUGCUGCUGCAGACUGCUGCAUGUCUGGAGUUAAACUGCAGUUUUGAUCGGUCUGAUCCCUGUUACACAGCUCUGGGACACAAAUUCAAUCUGAUGAUGGUGCGGGAUGCUAGUAAAUAUGACCUGCAGUUAAAAAAGAGAAUAAACAACAACACAGCAGAUGGUCCACUUUGUAGAGUAAAGAAUUACAGAAUGAGGGAAUGUGAUCUUUAUAAUAACAGACCUGAAGUGACAGUCAUUAAUGGGACUCUGAUAAUAAACCGUGUGAUCAGAACAGAUUCAGGGAAUUACAGAUUAAUACUCUCUGACUCAGGCGGCUCAGAAACAUCUAGAGAUCUUCAGGUGAUUGUUGAAGCUCCUAUUGGCUCAGUGGAAGUGUCAAUCAUCUGCUUCUCCAGUGGGGUGAUGAGGGUGUUCUGCUCCUCUGAGGGGGAUCAGCUCCUCUACAGCUGGACUCUGAAUGGAGGUCCACUGAUGGAUGGAAACAGCAGCAUUGAUCUGGAUGAGAGAACUGAUGGAGACAUCAGCUGCAGCGUGAAGAACCACGUCAGUCACGCACAGAAGACCAUUACACUCACACCCUGUCCUGGUCUGGAUCAGCUCUGCACAUUUGAUGAACCAUAUUCGAUCAAACAAUGUUACGCAGCUCUGGGACACAAACUCAAUCUGCAGAUGAUGCUGAACCCUUCAUAUACUGAACUUGAUUUGUAUAAGAUGUUAAAUGAUGGCAGUACACUGAAAGUUUUUAGCAUAGAGAAAAAUAAAAAGUAUGAUUAUGAAUCCAUCAUAUUUGAGUACUUAAAAAAUGUGCCUCUGAUCAUAAAUACACAUGAAUCCAUCAGAAACAGAUCUGAGUUCUUCUUUGAUAAUAUGACUCUGACCAUAAACAAUGUGACCAGAGCAGAUUCAGGAAGAUACACAUCAUUUGUCAUUGAGAUAGAUAUGGCAAUGGAAAGUGAUCUUCAAGUGAUUGUUGAAGGUAUAGAAGCUCUCAGCAAUAUAUUUUAUUUUAGAAAUGCUUUGAGAUUGACACUGAUAACAUGUUGA
ensembl:lncRNA